rnacentral:rRNA from 1 species
UACAGAGGGUGCGAGCGUUGUUCGGAAUUACUAGGCGUAAAGCGCGCGCAGGCGGCCCUUUAAGUCCGUCGGUCAAAUGCCGGGGCUCAACCCCGAGCGUGCCGAGGAUACUGGAGGGCUGGAGACACGUAGAGGCAAGCGGAAUUCCGGGUGUAGCGGUGGAAUGCGUAGAGAUCCGGAAGAACACCGGAGGCGAAGGCGGCUUGCUGGGCGUGAUCUGACGCUGAGGCGCGAAAGCGUGGGGAGCGAACAGG